AUCGAACGCUGGCGGCAGGCCUAACACAUGCAAGUCGAACGAGUGGCGGACGGGUGAGUAAUGUCUGGGAAACUGCCUGAUGGAGGGGGAUAACUACUGGAAACGGUAGCUAAUACCGCAUACCAUCGGAUGUGCCCAUAUGGGAUUAGCUAGUAGGUGGGGUAACGGCUCACAUAGGCGACGAUCCCUAGCUGGUCUGAGAGGAUGACCCGCAACACGGGAACUGAUACCGGGUCCAGACUCCUACGGGCGGCAGCAGUGGGGACUCUUGCACAAUGUGCGCAAGCCUGAUGCAGCCAUGCCGCGUGUAUGAAGAAGGCCUUCGGGUUGUAAAGUACUUUCAGCGGGUAGGCGUUACCCGCAGAAGAAGCACAGGCUAACUCCGUGCCAGCAGCCGCGGUAAUUC
rnacentral:rRNA from 1 species